ensembl:lncRNA
AGGGCCCCGAAGCUGAAGCCGAGCCCGUUGGCCGCAGGGGCCGCACCAGGCCAUAGACUCCGGGAGUUUCCGGGUGCGUAGACCCUUUCCCUCGGCGGAGGCUGCGGCUGCGCGUCCUCCCGGCGCGGAAGAGGCGGCUGGUGGUCCCCGACGGCAAGUGCAGGGGAAAGGAGAAUAAAGAACACUGAAUUGAUCUCAUAAAAAUCAAAGCAUAAAAGAAGCAGCAAGUAUAAGCCUGAUUAAAAAGAAAGUAAAGAAGGAGAUGGGUCAUUGAACUAAGGGGAGGCCUGGUGACAGCUCUUAGAAGAUGAAGUCUGACCAGAAUAGCACGUCUACCUGACAGAAAUGAAAACAUUUCCACACUAAAACAGGCACAUGAAUCUUCACAGCAGCAUUAUUCACAGUAGCCAAAAAAUGGAAACAUCCUAAACAUCCGUCAGCUGAUGAAUGGCGUCCACUCCCUGCCGUCUUUGCAUAGGAGAACCACAGUCCUGUAUUCAAAGGAAAAUACUGAUGACCCCCAGCACUGUGAAAAUCAGAACACUGAAUGGCAGGAUUCAAAAGGGCCAUGACAAAUAUGAGGGAAAUGGAAAAGGAGAAUGAGAUCCAUCUAUUGUGGAUCAAACUUAACAGACAAUGGCAGCAAGAAGUGGGGAGAGAAGAGAAACUUUCUCUGGAGUCUUGCCUAUUCUGCGCUUCCAACAAUAUGCCCCUUCCCCAUACCUUGCCCAAUGCAUCUCUUCAUCUAUAUCCUUUGUAAUAUCCUUUAUAUUAAACCAGCGAACAUAAGUGUUUCCUUGAGUUCUGUGAGCCACUUCAGCAAAUUAAUUGAACCCAAAAAGGGAGUUGUGAGAACCCCAUCUUUUUUCUUUCUUUUUUUUUUUUAAGACAGGAUCACGCUUUGUUGCGCAGGCUGGAGUGCAAUGGCACAGAUCACUGCUCACUGUAACCUUGAAUUCCUGGACUCAAGUGAUCCUUUCACCCCAACCUCCCAAGUAGCUAGGACUACACAGACUUGUACCUCCAUGCCGAGCUAAUUUUAAUUUUUAUUUUCUUGAGACAGGUCUCACGUUGCCCAGGCUGGUCUUGAACUCUUGGCCUCAAGUGAUCCUCCAGCCAUGAGCCACUGUAAAUGUCUGGGAACGCCAACUUGAAGCCCGGUUGGUCAGAAGUUCUAGAGGCCCAGACUUGCAACUGGUGUCUGAAGAGAUGCCAGUCUUAGGGACUGAGCCCUCAGCCUGAGGGAUCUGAUGCUAUUUCCAGGCAGAUAGUGUCAGAAUUAAAUUGGAGGAUACGCAGUUGGCGUCUGCUGCAGAACUGAUUGCUUGCUUGCUUGCUGGUAGGGGAAAUCCCCACAUAUCUGGGGGUCACUGAAGUCUUUGGUGUUGACUCUUACUGUGUUUGUUGUUUUCAUGUGAGAGCGGAGCAGAAAAGCAAAGAAAUGUUUUCCCCUGGUCUGUUUUCCAGACCAGUCUUUACAGAAACACACACACAGCUUCAAACAACACUGCACUUAUACAACCCUAAAAGUUAGUAAGUACCUCUUUCAGUUCUGCUCCAAGGACUUCAAUGAUUUCAGCCUUACUGUAGUCCUGGCCUUGAUUUUUAACAUCCAUCUCUCAGCAACUGGCAAAAAAAAAAAAAAAA